rnacentral:rRNA from 1 species
GACGAACGCUGGCGGCGUGCCUAAUACAUGCAAGUCGAACGAGAGCGACCGGUGCUUGCACUGGUCAAUCUAGUGGCGAACGGGUGAGUAACACGUGGGUAACCUGCCCAUCAGAGGGGGAUAACAUCCGGAAACGGAUGCUAAAACCGCAUAGGUCUUCGAACCGCAUGGUUUGAAGAGGAAAAGAGGCGCAAGCUUCUGCUGAUGGAUGGACCCGCGGUGCAUUAGCUAGUUGGUGAGGUAACGGCUCACCAAGGCCGUGAUGCGUAGCCGACCUGAGAGGGUGAUCGGCCACACUGGGACUGAGACACGGCCCAAACUCCUACGGGAGGCAGCAGUAGGGAAUCUUCCGCAAUGGGCGCAAGCCUGACGGAGCAACGCCGCGUGAGUGAAGAAGGUUUUCGGAUCGUAAAACUCUGUUGUUAGGGAAGAACAAGUGCUAGAGUAACUGUUAACGCCUUGACGGUAUCUAACCAGAAAGCCACGGCUAACUACGUG